rnacentral:rRNA from 1 species
CGUGUAGGCGGUUUCUUAAGUCUGAUGUGAAAGCCCCGGGCUCAACCCGGGAAGUGCAUUGGAUACUGGGAGACUUGAAUACGGGAGAGGGUAGUGGAAUUCCUAGUGUAGGAGUGAAAUCCGUAGAUAUUAGGAGGAACACCGGUGGCGAAGGCGGCUACCUGGACCGAUAUUGACGCUGAGACGCGAAAGCGUGGGGAGCAAACAGGAUUAGAUACCCUGGUAGUCCACGCCGUAAACGAUGAGAACUAGGUGUUGCGGGUAUUGACCCCUGCAGUGCCGCAGCUAACGCAUUAAGUUCUCCGCCUGGGAAGUACGGUCGCAAGACUAAA